UUAAAAUCAAGUUGUGGGUUAGUUUUGGCAAAAACCCCUUUAAUCUUUAUGAAUUUUAUGUCUUGAUUUUUUUAAAUGUCAUAAAUCUUAACUUGUUACAAAAAAAAUUUAAAUAAUCUAAACUUUUUAAAUAGUCUAAACUAUUUUUUGAUAUUUUGUGUGUCAAAUGAAAAUAAAAUAUAAAAAUAAAGUUAAGUAUUUUCUAAAUAUUUUUUAAACAUAAAAUAUAUACAUAUCCAAACAAUUAUUUUAUGUCUUAAAAACAUUUUGAAAAUAUUAAACUUUAGUUCCGAUAUUUUUAUUUUCAUAGCUAAUAUGUUACUAUAUAA
rnacentral:lncRNA from 1 species